rnacentral:rRNA from 1 species
UACGUAGGUGGCAAGCGUUGUCCGGAAUUACUGGGUGUAAAGGGCGUGUAGGCGGGGAUGCAAGUCAGAUGUGAAAUUCCGAAGCUCAACUUCGGCGCUGCAUCUGAAACUGUAUCUCUUGAGUGCUGGAGAGGAAAGCGGAAUUCCUAGUGUAGCGGUGAAAUGCGUAGAUAUUAGGAGGAACACCAGUGGCGAAGGCGGCUUUCUGGACAGUAACUGACGCUGAGGCGCGAAAGCGUGGGGAGCGAACAGG